UACGAAGGGGGCUAGCGUUGUUCGGAAUCACUGGGCGUAAAGCGCAUGCAGGCGGAUUGUUAAGUCGGGGGUGAAAUCCCGAGGCUCAACCUCGGUACUGCCUUCGAUACUGGCAAUCUUGAGUCCGGGAGAGGUGAGUGGAACUGCGAGUGUAGAGGUGAAAUUCGUAGAUAUUCGCAAGAACACCAGUGGCGAAGGCGGCUCACUGGCCCGGUACUGACGCUGAGGCGCGAAAGCGUGGGGAGCAAACAGG
rnacentral:rRNA from 1 species